UAUGAGGUGGAAUACUUGUGUGACUAC
rnacentral:piRNA from 1 species